GACGAACGCUGGCGGCGUGCCUAAUACAUGCAAGUGGGACGCAAGGGAACACACUGUGCUUGCACACCGUGUUUUCUUGAGUCGCGAACGGGUGAGUAACGCGUAGGUAACCUGCCUAUUAGCGGGGGAUAACUAUUGGAAACGAUAGCUAAUACCGCAUAAUAUUAAUUAUUGCAUGAUAAUUGAUUGAAAGAUGCAAGCGCAUCACUAGUAGAUGGACCUGCGUUGUAUUAGCUAGUUGGUAAGGUAAGAGCUUACCAAGGCGACGAUACAUAGCCGACCUGAGAGGGUGAUCGGCCACACUGGGACUGAGACACGGCCCAGACUCCUACGGGAGGCAGCAGUAGGGAAUCUUCGGCAGUGGACGAAAGUCUGACCGAGCAACGCCGCGUGAGUGAAGAAGGUUUUCGGAUCGUAAAGCUCUGUUGUAAGUCAAGAACGUGUGUGAGAGUGGAAAGUUCACACAGUG
rnacentral:rRNA from 1 species